rnacentral:rRNA from 1 species
AAUCCAUAGGUUAAUGAGGCGAACCGGGGGAACUGAAACAUCUAAGUACCCCGAGGAAAAGAAAUCAACCGAGAUUCCCCCAGUAGCGGCGAGCGAACGGGGAGGAGCCCAGAGCCUGAAUCAGCAUGUGUGUUAGUGGAAGCGUCUGGAAAGGCGCGCGAUACAGGGUGACAGCCCCGUACACAAAAGCGCAUGUGCUGUGAGCUCGAUGAGUAGGGCGGGACACGUGGUAUCCUGUCUGAAUAUGGGGGGACCAUCCUCCAAGGCUAAAUACUCCUGACUGACCGAUAGUGAACCAGUACCGUGAGGGAAAGGCGAAAAGAACCCCGGCGAGGGGAGUGAAAAAGAACCUGAAACCGUGUACGUACAAGCAGUGGGAGCACCCUUCGGGGUGUGACUGCGUACCUUUUGUAUAAUGGGUCAGCGACUUAUAUUCUGUAGCAAGGUUAACCGUAUAGGGGAGCCGGAGGGAAACCGAGUCUUAAUUGGGCGUUAAGUUGCAGGGUAUAGACCCGAAACCCGGUGAUCUAGCCAUGGGCAGGUUGAAGGUUGGGUAACACUAACUGGAGGACCGAACCGACUAAUGUUGAAAAAUUAGCGGAUGACCUGUGGCUGGGGGUGAAAGGCCAAUCAAACCGGGAGAUAGCUGGUUCUCCCCGAAAGCUAUUUAGGUAGCGCCUCGUGAAUUCAUCUCCGGGGGUAGAGCACUGUUUCGGCUAGGGGGCCAUCCCGGCUUACCAACCCGAUGCAAACUGCGAAUACCGGAGAAUGUUAUCACGGGAGACACACGGCGGGUGCUAACGUCCGUCGUGAAGAGGGAAACAACCCAGACCGCCAGCUAAGGUCCCAAAGUCAUGGUUAAGUGGGAAACGAUGUGGGAAGGCCCAGACAGCCAGGAUGUUGGCUUAGAAGCAGCCAUCAUUUAAAGAAAGCGUAAUAGCUCACUGGUCGAGUCGGCCUGCGCGGAAGAUGUAACGGGGCUAAACCAUGCACCGAAGCUGCGGCAGCGAACGUAUCACCCAA